rnacentral:lncRNA from 1 species
GUUCUGUUCUGUUCUGUUCUGUUUGUUCUGCUCUGCUCUGCUCUGCUCUGCUCUGCUCUGCUCUGCUCUGCUCUGCUCUGCUCUGCUCUAUUCUAUUCUAUUCUAUUCUAUUCUAUCCUUUCUAUUUUAUAUUCCAUUAUAUUUGAUGAUACUGAGGAGGGAACCUGGGACCUUAAAAAUGACAACCAAAUGAUAGGGCACUGGAUAAUAACUCCCCAGUCUACCUACUUCUACCUCUUUUUUUUUUUUUGACAAGGUCUCACAGUGUAGCCAUGGCUAUUCUGGAACUCUAUGUAAACCAAGCUGGAAUAGAACUCAAAGAGAUCUUCCUGCCUCUGCUUUCCCAAAGACACAUUAGGGAAGUGUGGGACGAGACAGAACAGUCUUCAAUUUCCAUAUGACUCCGUGGUCAGUGUGACUCCCAAGGACAAUCAAAGCAGAACAACAACAGCUUAACCAGAAAUGAACGUCACAGGAAAGCUUAUCAUCAUCAAGGAACUCUGAAUUUGCAUCCCUAAUGCAUCCUUCUCAAAGAUUCUCAGGGAAGUAGCUGAGUCACCACUGAAGAGCAGCAUUUGAUAGUGCUUUUAAUGAAGCAGGCAUGGCAUGAGAUGGGGACAGACAGAUACUAGGAGUAAGAGGGACAGAACUCCUGGACAGGAGACUGGAAGCUUCCAGAGUCAAAAGUGCCCCCCUCCCACCACCAUUCUACAUGGAGCUGCCUACAGAAAGGUAAAACGGAGCUAGGAUUCAUCGCUACUGUUUGCAGAAACUGGAGCCUUUUCCAAGACAGAAAAUUGGUAUAAAUAUAUUUUCUCUCCAG